UUGUUCGAGGACGAGCUUGCCAACCAAGCCGCUGGGGUGAAGCCGAAGCGCAAGAGCAAGCGGACCAAAGCAUACACGGCGGCCGAGGACAUGCUUCUUUGCAAGUGUUGGAGAGACAUUGGGCAAGACCCCAAGACGGGCGCUGAACAAAAACAUUCAACUUUUUGGAUUCGUGUCCACCAUGAGUUCCAUGAGCGCAAGAAGUUCCCGCCGUACCAAAUAGUAAGCACGCGCGGGUGGGUGUCCAUUUCGAAGCGAUGGAGGGUGAUCCAACAAGAGUGCAACAAGUUUUGUGCCACUCGUGAGAGCGUCAAGGCCCGUUGUGUGAGCGGCAUCGACAUGCAAGACAUGGCAUUUCAAGCUUUGGAGGCAUUCAAGGUCCAACACAAUGGCAAGUGCUUCAACCUCUCCCAUUGCUUUAGCGUGAUCAAA
rnacentral:rRNA from 1 species